rnacentral:ncRNA from 2 species
AUACGAACCGUGAAAGCGUGGCCU